GCUCCGGUGGCUUAGUGGUUAGAGCGCCCGCCUCGGAUACGAGAGGUCGUGGGUUCGAACCCCGGUUGAGUCA